GAUGAACGCUGGCGGCGUGCUUAACACAUGCAAGUCGAACGAAGCAUUUAGGACAGAUUACUUCGGUUUGAAGUUCUUUAUGACUGAGUGGCGGACGUGUGAGUAACUCGUGGGUGACCUGCCUUGUACUGGGGGAUAGCAGCUGGAAACGGCUGGUAAUACCGCAUAAGCGCACAAUGUUGCAUGACAUGGUGUGAAAAACUCCGGUGGUAUAAGAUGGACCCGCGUCUGAUUAGCUAGUUGGUGAGAUAACAGCCCACCAAGGCGACGAUCAGUAGCCGACAUGAGAGGGUGACAGGCCACAUUGGGAAUGAGACCCGGACCACACUCCUACGGGAGGCAGCAGUGGGGAAUAUUGCACAAUGGAGGAAACUCCGAUGCAGCGACGUCGGGUGAGUGAAGAAGUAAUUCGUUAUGUAAAGCUCUCUCAGCAGGGAAGAUAGUGACGGUAACUGACUAAGAAGCUCCGGCUAACUACGUG
rnacentral:rRNA from 1 species